AUUGAACGCUAGCGGGAUGCUUUACACAUGCAAGUCGAACGGAGUGGCGGACGGGUGAGUAAUAUAUCGGAACGUGCCCAGUAGCGGGGGAUAACUACUCGAAAGCGUGGCUAAUACCGCAUAAUUGUUGAGCGGCCGAUAUCGGAUUAGCCAGUUGGUGGGGUAACGGCUCACCAAGGCAACGACGCGUAGCGGGGUUGAGAGGACGACCAGCCACACUGGGACUGAGACACGGCCCAGACGCCUACGGGAGGCAGCAGUGGGGAAGUUUGGACAAUGGGGGAAACGCUGAUCCAGCCAGCCCGCGUGUAUGAUGAAGGCCUUCGGGUUGUAAAGUACUUUUGGCAGAGAAGCGGUAUCUGCAGAAUAAGCACCGGCUAACUACGUGCCAGCAGCCGCGGUAAUAC
rnacentral:rRNA from 1 species